CGGCACCAAUCGCCUCUUCUCGGCAGGCGCAGACCGCAUGGUCGUCUUCCUCUCUGGCUUCUUCUACACCAUCAGACUCAGACCCUCUCCCGCUCCCUCUCCCUCUGCAUCUCUAUAAAAAUAUGGUCAACUAGGAGAUGAUGCAAGCCAAGGCGCUCACACCGAUUUAAGAUGGUGUGGGUGAUCAAUAGAAGACAAAUGAAUACACUGAUGGAAGGCCAUGUCAAAGUACCUUUCUAUUUUGUAUUUUCUUUUUGUUUAGGAUCUACUAUAAUUUCCCAGAAAGUUUUUAUUCCAUA